UACGUAGGGUGCGAGCGUUAAUCGGAAUUACUGGGCGUAAAGCGUGCGCAGGCGGUUCGACAAGUCCGAUGUGAAAGCCCCGGGCUCAACCUGGGAAUGGCAUUGGAAACUGGCGAGCUUGAGUGUGGCAGAGGGGGGUGGAAUUCCGCGUGUAGCAGUGAAAUGCGUAGAGAUGCGGAGGAACACCGAUGGCGAAGGCAGCCCCCUGGGCUGACACUGACGCUGAGGCACGAAAGCGUGGGGAGCAAACAGG
rnacentral:rRNA from 1 species